rnacentral:rRNA from 1 species
AGGACGAACGCUGGCGGCGUGCUUAACACAUGCAAGUGGUGCGACGAACCGGGGCUUGCCCCGGGGCCAAGCCGCGAACGGGUGAGUAACACGUGAGUAAUCUGCCCCGAUGACCGGGACAACCCGAGGAAACUCGGGCUAAUACCGGAUGUGGUGCACAAAUCUAAGUUUGUGUACUAAAGGAAGCUUCGGCCUCCGCAUUGGGAGGAGCUCGCGGCCCAUUAGCUUGUUGGUGGGGUAACGGCCUACCAAGGCAACGAUGGGUAGCUGGUCUGAGAGGACGAUCAGCCACACUGGGACUGAGACACGGCCCAGACUCCUACGGGAGGCAGCAGUGGGGAAUCUUGCGCAAUGCGCGAAAGCGUGACGCAGCAACGCCGCGUGGGGGAAGACGGCCUUCGGGUUGUAAACCCCUUUCAGGAGGGACGAAGGUUCACCGGUUAAUAGCCGUGUGGAUUGACGGUACCUCCACAAGAAGCUCCGGCUAACUACGUGCCAGCAGCCGCGGU